AACGGCCAUAUCACAUUGAAAUACCAGUUACCAUACAAUCACUGUGGCUAAGCAAUAUCAAGCCUGUUAAGUACCUAGCUGGGUGACAGCUUGGGAAUAUCAGGUGCUGUAAG